GCAAGUCGAGCGAGAAGGUUAAGAAGGAUUCUUCGGAUGACAGAUUAACUGGAAAGCGGCGGACGGGUGAGUAACGCGUGGGUAACCUGCCCCAUACACAGGGAUAGCCAUUGGAAACGAUGAUUAAUACCUGAUAACACAUAUGAAUCGCAUGAUUUGAAUGUCAAAGAUUUAUCGGUAUGGGAUGGACCCGCGUCUGAUUAGCUAGUUGGUAAGGUAAUGGCUUACCAAGGCGACGAUCAGUAGCCGACCUGAGAGGGUGAUC
rnacentral:rRNA from 1 species